UCUCCCAUCCCAGGGCUGGGGAAACAAAGGGAAGAAAUCAGAGACUUUAGAUCAAAGAAGAGAUGCUGUAUUGAGUCAGAAUAGAUGGCUGAGGAAUGAUCAUGAGGCUGGACCAGGAGGACUGAAAAUAAUCAGGAGGAUGAGUGACUGGGAUGAGACAUGAAAGAGGCAUCUGAAGAGCCUGAUUACAGACGGUCAUGGGAGACAUCAUCGGCCGGAUUUCAUCUGUACUGGCUGUUUGCGCUGAUGGUGGUUACGCUACAAAGCUGUCAGCAGGAGCCGGAGGGAAGAGGGUCUCUUCCUAAUGCCACUCUCCUCAACUGAGACCUUGGAGAAAAAUGCUGGUUCAAAAUGCUGGGCGGAUGGGAAUUUUAUAAAUCACUCUAGCUUUACACAGGGAAAAGGAUACCGCUGGGAGUUUUUUCCACAAUGAUUGUCUUGUCACUAACAAAUAUGCCCCUGACUGUCAAGGCUAUUGGCUUGCUAUUACCCUGGGUUGAAGCAAGAGAAUGUGUAGCUAUUUAUGAAGCCAGGAUCACUCUGUCAAUUUCUGAGCAGACAAAAGGUAACCUUUGUUAAGACUUUUCUUUUCAACAUGAGCAUGGACAAAAGUCUUCAGUUUUACUGAGUUACUGACUCAGCGGAGUUGGACCCCUUGUGACCCCAUAGAUGACGUUGGCCUGAAGAGCGGCGGGACCCUGGGGAGCCAGCCCAACUGUUACAUGGCACUGCCCUCUUGUGGGGAAACUCAAAAAAUGAUCGACUUAAAAAGUACCCUCAGAGCAACUGCUGCCCGUCUGUUUAUAA